GGGCGAUUAGCUCAGCGGGAGAGCGCUGCCUUCACACGGCAGAGGUCGCUGGUUCGAUCCCAGCAUCGCCCACUA
rnacentral:tRNA from 1 species